rnacentral:rRNA from 1 species
GUGUCAGCAGCCGCGGUAAUACGUAGGGUGCGAGCGUUAAUCGGAAUUACUGGGCGUAAAGUGUGCGCAGGUGGCCUCGCAAGUCGAGUGUGAAAUCCCCGGGCUUAACUUGGGAAUUGCGCUCGAAACUACGGGGCUCGAGUGUGGCAGAGGGAGGUGGAAUUCCACGUGUAGCGGUGAAAUGCGUAGAGAUGUGGAGGAACACCAAUGGCGAAGGCAGCCUCCUGGGCCAACACUGACGCUCAUGCACGAAAGCGUGGGGAGCAAACAGGAUUAGAUACCCUGGUAGUCCACGCCCUAAACGAUGAUGACUAGUUGUUGGGGGAGUUAAAUCCCUUAGUAACGCAGCUAACGCGCGAAGUCAUCCGCCUGGGGAGUACGGUCGCAAGAUUAAA